rnacentral:rRNA from 1 species
GAUGAACGCUGGCGGCGUGCCUAAUACAUGCAAGUCGAGCGAACGGACGAGAAGCUUGCUUCUCUGAUGUUAGCGGCGGACGGGUGAGUAACACGUGGAUAACCUACCUAUAAGACUGGGAUAACUUCGGGAAACCGGAGCUAAUACCGGAUAAUAUUUUGAACCGCAUGGUUCAAAAGUGAAAGACGGUCUUGCUGUCACUUAUAGAUGGAUCCGCGCCGCAUUAGCUAGUUGGUAAGGUAACGGCUUACCAAGGCAACGAUGCAUAGCCGACCUGAGAGGGUGAUCGGCCACACUGGAACUGAGACACGGUCCAGACUACUAAGGGAGGCAGCAGUAGGGAAUCUUCCGCAAUGGGCGAAAGCCUGACGGAGCAACGACGCGUGAGUGAUGAAGGUCUUCGGAUCGUAAAACUCUGUUAUUAGGGAAGAACAUAUGUGUAAGUAACUGUGCACAUCUUGACGGUACCUAAUCAGAAAGCCACGGCUAACUACGUG